AUUCGGGCUUGGUGUUGAAUUAAAAUCAUUGAUUGAACCUUAUUCUGGGGCUUCGGUUUGGCUUACUAGUUUGGGAUUUUAAAAAAAUAAAAAUUAAGCCUAUAGAGAGGGCAAAUUAAAAUUAGGUUGGGUAAAGGAAGGAGCGCGAGUGUUUGAAGCCGUUUGGAGGGAACAGCGGUUUCCAAGUUCCUGCUGACUUGAGAAGUCUCUGCGGGUUUCCGAAUCUCCGGCGCACUCCUGGGCGCGCUGCGGGAGCUGUAGCUCAGCCAGCCAGGGAGUAGCGGCUUUCAUCCGCCGGGAGGAGUCUUUCGAGUUCAAUCGCGGGCUCUGAAACUGCGGAGCGGCCACCGGACGCCUUCUGGAGCAGGUAGCAGC
rnacentral:lncRNA from 1 species